ACUACUUUUAAUUAUUAUAAGCGGUUUUCGAAAAAUGGCGCCACAUUUUACGGGAUACUUCUUUGUUCUCUUCGACCUUAUUGUAAAUAGAUUCCUGCACUUUCUGAAGGAUGGCGCCACAUACGAAUUCUUACAAAGUGGGGUUAGGUUUGCUUGUAUGUUUAUUCAAUUUAUAUUGGAAUUAAUUUAUUUUAUUUAUCAACGACCAGCGCCAAUUACAAAAAUACAGAAAUUUAAAUAAUGAAAGCUGUCAUGUACCUGCCUCAGGAGAGGAUGGAACCAAUUUGAGAUAGAUACAAGAUUUGUACCCUUGGUGAAGACUUAUAAGGGCACAGUAGGGGAUUUUUAGGAGCUUUAUAUGCAUAAAUUCCUGGCUGCUUCUUCUAAUCAAUCCAAAAAGGCCUAACAACAGCAUCAUGCAAAAGAAAAUUAAACUGGAGGUUUUUAUCCAGAGCAACAUCAAGGUCUCGGGCAACAGAUACUCUUUCGAGACUGUAUCGGUUAAUCUUGCUAAAUCUCCUGUGAAAAAUGCUUACCAUUUCACAAAUGUAAGACCCUGUUUAUUUUCUAAAGAAUUGAAAUAUUUUUCUUAGUCAUUAAGAUGAAAUUUAUCGGUCUGACCGAAAAGAGGUCCAGGAUAUUUACAAAACUAAAGCUAGCUCAGCGGUACCGUAAGUAAUCAAAUACGGUUUACACUUAGCGUUUCCCCUCGGGAAUUAUUUUUAUGGGUUUCGACAAAAGAGUGAGAUAAAUAUUUGGUUUAUAAAAUUCAUUUGAGUUUUGGUCACUAAAGAGUGAAGUUAUUUAAUAAAAACAAUAAAGGGUGUUGCGACGUGAAAUAAGCUGUGUUGGUUUGGUGUAGUGUUUUACUACAAGAAAGGGUCUACACGUCACCAUCUCUACUUUGGAGUCGCCCAAGCGCCCAGUUGUUUUACAAG